rnacentral:rRNA from 1 species
GGUUAAGCGACUAAGCGUACACGGUGGAUGCCCUGGCAGUCAGAGGCGAUGAAGGGCGUGCUAAUCUGCGAUAAGCGCCGGUAAGGUGAUAUGAACCGUUAUAACCGGCGAUACCCGAAUGGGGAAACCCAGUGUGACUCGUCACACUAUCAUUAACUGAAUCCAUAGGUUAAUGAGGCGAACCGGGGGAACUGAAACAUCUAAGUACCCCGAGGAAAAGAAAUCAACCGAGAUUCCCCCAGUAGCGGCGAGCGAACGGGGAGGAGCCCAGAGCCUGAAUCAGCAUGUGUGUUAGUGGAAGCGUCUGGAAAGGCGCGCGAUACAGGGUGACAGCCCCGUACACAAAAGCGCAUGUGCUGUGAGCUCGAUGAGUAGGGCGGGACACGUGGUAUCCUGUCUGAAUAUGGGGGGACCAUCCUCCAAGGCUAAAUACUCCUGACUGACCGAUAGUGAACCAGUACCGUGAGGGAAAGGCGAAAAGAACCCCGGCGAGGGGAGUGAAAAAGAACCUGAAACCGUGUACGUACAAGCAGUGGGAGCACCCUUUGGGGUGUGACUGCGUACCUUUUGUAUAAUGGGUCAGCGACUUAUAUUCUGUAGCAAGGUUAACCGAAUAGGGGAGCCGGAGGGAAACCGAGUCUUAAUUGGGCGUUAAGUUGCAGGGUAUAGACCCGAAACCCGGUGAUCUAGCCAUGGGCAGGUUGAAGGUUGGGUAACACUAACUGGAGGACCGAACCGACUAAUGUUGAAAAAUUAGCGGAUGACCUGUGGCUGGGGGUGAAAGGCCAAUCAAACCGGGAGAUAGCUGGUUCUCCCCGAAAGCUAUUUAGGUAGCGCCUCGUGAAUUCAUCUCCGGGGGUAGAGCACUGUUUCGGCUAGGGGGCCAUCCCGGCUUACCAACCCGAUGCAAACUGCGAAUACCGGAGAAUGUUAUCACGGGAGACACACGGCGGGUGCUAACGUCCGUCGUGAAGAGGGAAACAACCCAGACCGCCAGCUAAGGUCCCAAAGUCAUGGUUAAGUGGGAAACGAUGUGGGAAGGCCCAGACAGCCAGGAUGUUGGCUUAGAAGCAGCCAUCAUUUAAAGAAAGCGUAAUAGCUCACUGGUCGAGUCGGCCUGCGCGGAAGAUGUAACGGGGCUAAACCAUGCACCGAAGCUGCGGCAGCGACGCUUAUGCGUUGUUGGGUAGGGGAGCGUUCUGUAAGCCUGUGAAGGUGUGUCGUGAGGCAUGCUGGAGGUAUCAGAAGUGCGAAUGCUGACAUAAGUAACGAUAAAGCGGGUGAAAAGCCCGCUCGCCGGAAGACCAAGGGUUCCUGUCCAACGUUAAUCGGGGCAGGGUGAGUCGACCCCUAAGGCGAGGCCGAAAGGCGUAGUCGAUGGGAAACGGGUUAAUAUUCCCGUACUUGGUGUUACUGCGAAGGGGGGACGGAGAAGGCUAUGUUGGCCGGGCGACGGUUGUCCCGGUUUAAGCGUGUAGGUGUGUGUUCCAGGUAAAUCCGGUUCACUUUAACACUGAGGCGUGACGACGAGGCACUACGGUGCUGAAGCAACAAAUGCCCUGCUUCCAGGAAAAGCCUCUAAGCAUCAGGUAACAUCAAAUCGUACCCCAAACCGACACAGGUGGUCAGGUAGAGAAUACCAAGGCGCUUGAGAGAACUCGGGUGAAGGAACUAGGCAAAAUGGUGCCGUAACUUCGGGAGAAGGCACGCUGACACGUAGGUGAAGUGAUUUACUCAUGGAGCUGAAGUCAGUCGAAGAUACCAGCUGGCUGCAACUGUUUAUUAAAAACACAGCACUGUGCAAACACGAAAGUGGACGUAUACGGUGUGACGCCUGCCCGGUGCCGGAAGGUUAAUUGAUGGGGUCAGCGCAAGCGAAGCUCCUGAUCGAAGCCCCGGUAAACGGCGGCCGUAACUAUAACGGUCCUAAGGUAGCGAAAUUCCUUGUCGGGUAAGUUCCGACCUGCACGAAUGGCGUAAUGAUGGCCAGGCUGUCUCCACCCGAGACUCAGUGAAAUUGAACUCGCUGUGAAGAUGCAGUGUACCCGCGGCAAGACGGAAAGACCCCGUGAACCUUUACUAUAGCUUGACACUGAACAUUGAGCCUUGAUGUGUAGGAUAGGUGGGAGGCUUUGAAGCGUGGACGCCAGUCUGCGUGGAGCCGACCUUGAAAUACCACCCUUUAAUGUUUGAUGUUCUAACGUGGACCCGUAAUCCGGGUUGCGGACAGUGUCUGGUGGGUAGUUUGACUGGGGCGGUCUCCUCCUAAAGAGUAACGGAGGAGCACGAAGGUUGGCUAAUCCUGGUCGGACAUCAGGAGGUUAGUGCAAUGGCAUAAGCCAGCUUGACUGCGAGCGUGACGGCGCGAGCAGGUGCGAAAGCAGGUCAUAGUGAUCCGGUGGUUCUGAAUGGAAGGGCCAUCGCUCAACGGAUAAAAGGUACUCCGGGGAUAACAGGCUGAUACCGCCCAAGAGUUCAUAUCGACGGCGGUGUUUGGCACCUCGAUGUCGGCUCAUCACAUCCUGGGGCUGAAGUAGGUCCCAAGGGUAUGGCUGUUCGCCAUUUAAAGUGGUACGCGAGCUGGGUUUAGAACGUCGUGAGACAGUUCGGUCCCUAUCUGCCGUGGGCGCUGGAGAACUGAGGGGGGCUGCUCCUAGUACGAGAGGACCGGAGUGGACGCAUCACUGGUGUUCGGGUUGUCAUGCCAAUGGCACUGCCCGGUAGCUAAAUGCGGAAGAGAUAAGUGCUGAAAGCAUCUAAGCACGAAACUUGCCCCGA